rnacentral:rRNA from 1 species
AAUAGAUACCCGGGUAGUCCUGGCCGUAAACGAUGACCACCAGGUGUGGGAGGUAUCGACCCCUUCCGUGCCACAGGAAACCUGUUCAGUGGUCCGCCUGGGGAGUACGGUCGCAAGAUUAAAACUCAAAGGAAUUGACGGGGACCCGCACAAGCAGCGGAGCGUGUGGUUUAAUUCGAUGCGACGCGCAGAACCUUACCAGGGCUUGACAUGCAGGUGCACCUCCUGGAGACAGGAGUCCUCGCACGAGGCGCUUGCACAGGUGCUGCAUGGCUGUCGUCAGCUCGUGCCGUGAGGUGUUGGGUUAAGUCCCGCAACGAGCGCAACCCUCGUGCUCGGUUAGGAUGUCCGAGCAGACUGCCACGCUAAACGUGGAGGAAGGUGGGGAUGACGUCAAGUCAGCACGGCCCUUACGUCCUGGGCUACACACACGCUACAAUGGCCGCGACACGAGUCGCCAACCGCGAGGGGAGCUAAUCUGCAACGCGGUCGCAGUUCGGAUGGCAGGCUGCAACCCGCC